UAAGCUAGUGGGGGUGAAGUUUCAGUGCAUUCCGUUGAUGUAGGUGGCGUGGAAAGGGAAACAAGUAUGCCGUCUCACUGUGCUGCAUACAAUUGCACACUACGUCGUAAGAUUGAGACAAGUCAACUUGGAAUGACUUUUCAUAGGUUUCCUAAAAACUAUGGGCUGAGGAGGAAGUAGUAGAAGCAGCUCUGAGGAGAGAGGGGUUUGCUGCAAAUGAUGAGUGGGUGCUCUGCAGUGAUCAUUUUAAACCUGAUGAGUUUGACAGGGCUGGGCAGGUUUGUCGGCUUAGACCUGGUGUCAUUCCAUCAGUGUUUAACUUCCCAGCUCAUCUUGGAAAGAGUACGUGCCAGAAAGACCACGACCAAGCAGCCUUGAGAUCUUAGACAGCGUCUCCCUGAGGUCCCUCUCUAUCUCCCCACACAUCCACCAACCACUGGAAUACAUCUCCAAAGUUCUGCCGGGCCAGCUCAGCUUCCCCUCAGAAGAAGUGCUGCCACCUGCCAGAUGAAGGAGCCUUUUGAGAGGCAGCUGGCAUCGUGAUUGGACUGUACUUUGGUCUGUUCCAAUCCAGCUUCAGCUCCAGAGACGGAGGCCGGGUGGACGAAGACAUGCAGCUGAGUACAAUCCAGAAAACAACAGAGGAGGAGUGCAGCGGCCCAGUAUAGCCUUUGGUAUGAAAAAACACCAUCAUAUACAUUAUAUAUUGUACAAAUAGCAAGUCAAAGGAAAGAGACGUACAUUGUAGAAUUGUAGUAAUUGUGGCCUGACUGAUUUACUUAUUAUCAGUAUUUUAUUUUUUUACUGAUUUACAGUAAUAAAUAAAUUUUAAAAUGGUGCUACUUUGGCUCUGAACCUUUAUAUACCUGUGGUCUCUGUCUUCUGGAGUGAUUUGAUUGGUUAUAUGUCAAGAAUAAAACUCCUUUAACUUAACAUCUGUAAACAAAACAAAAAAGUAUCAACAAAGUUUUCUGUUAGAGUUUGUGUUCUUCUAAGUUUAACUCUAAGAUUUUAAAUACUUUGAUUUACUGCAAAUGAUUAUCUACUCCAAAUGUCUCACUAAUAAUCAUUAUCAGCCUUAAAAACCCACAAAACACCCCUUUAUACUCGACCACACUUAGUACAGUCCGGUUCCCCCUUCUAUAAAUCUGCUUGGAAUCUUCCACUUCCUGUUUGUCAAAGUGGCCUUCUACCUGGACAGGUUUUGUUGGAGCUCAUGCAACAAACAUUUUGGGUAACUGCACUUUAAUAUGGAUGGAUGACACUGAAUUAGAGUCUGUUUUAAUGAGACUGAGUUAAGAUGUGUAGCUCUGUCAUUAAAUAGGAAAUUAUUUCUCAGAAUUCACAGAGAAAAGUCUGAAAUGUUUGCUAGGUUAGCAUCCCACAUGUUCUUUGGCUCAGCUAAAGCUAACUCUCUCCAACUUCUGGAUCUCUUGAGUUGCUUGUUGUUAAAAUAUCUUGCUAGAGGUGCUGAAGCUCAGGAAGUCUGAGAUGUUUGUUCAAAAUAAGCUCAUUCUCAAGUCUUAUCUGAACUGUCCUCUUUUGUUUGAACUUUCCCUAAACUUAGGAGUUAAUGACAGAGCAGCACAUCCAGACUCACUCUCAUUUAUGUAGAGAUUAAACUUCAGUGUCAUUCAUUGAUGUUAAAGGGCAGUUUUUCAAAUGUUUGUUGCACAUGCUCCCGACCAAACCAGUCCAGGUGGAAGACGAUGUGAAGAGAAAGCUCCAGGGGAUGAAUAUCACACAUUUACAUUGGAAAUAAAUGUCCUUUAAUUAGACAUUGUCAUGCAAAAGUUGGAUUUCCCUUUAAUGAUGUUCAAGUCUUUGAGUGUUUUGUUGAUGUUGGUUUCUAAAUGUUUUUUGACACUCGGCCCCAAAGAUUAAAACCUUUUACGGCUCACAAGCUGCAACAAUUCACACAUUAUCAACUAUCUUUCUGACUAAACUAAGAUAAAAAGUGAAAAACUGCCUGAUUCCUGCAUCAUGAAUGUAAAUCUUUUUGGUUUUUAUGACAGUAAACUGAAUAUGUUUGGGUUUGACAUGUUAUAAACCAAAACAAGAAAUGAAUUACUGGAGAAAACAAUCAACAGAUUAAUGGACAAAGAAAAUGUGUUUUCCAACAUAUAUGGCUGAAUUACUCCAACAUUCCAAGAUACAUACAAUUUGAAUUCAAUUUUAUUUAUAUAACGGCAAUUACAGGUCAAAUUGUCUCAAGACACUUUAUUUUCAUAUUUUUUGUCAUAUUUAAAAUAUGACAAAGUAAGAAAUUUAAACCUCUUGAGUAAUCCAAUUUAUUAUUUGGUUUUUAAGAGACUAAUCAAUAAUUACAAUAACUUUCUCCACUAAAACUAAUAAACAUGAGGUCAAAUAGAAGGAAGAGUUUUAAAUACUGCAGUCCCAUGACGAUAAGAAUAAAGUUUCUCAACAAAAACUAAAUCUGCUGGUGGAUUCCAUUAAAGUUCUAAUAAAUGAUAAUAAAGUGUGAUACUAAAGGUUUGUGGUGCUAAAAAUGUCAAAGUAAAGAUAUCAAGUUGAACAUCUGGAUGGAGGUUGAUAAAAGUUGACCUCCCUUCAUUUCUCUGGAGCCGACUCCAUGGAUUUUAUGGAUGCUGGUUAAAGACCUGCUCUUCUAGUCGUCUUACUUCUAGUCGCUGUACAAAGUCACUCCAUCCUGACCGACUUCAACACCUCUUCAUGACAACUUGUUCUGCCUCCGACCUCGUGGAAACUCCAGAAACUGGGGAAAACCUGUGGAGACUCGAAGAACUCGUGGAGACUCGAAGAACUCGUCGGGCGGGGGAAGGU